UACGGGGGGGGCAAGCGUUGUUCGGAAUUACUGGGCGUAAAGGGUGCGUAGGCGGAUAAUUAAGUCAGUGGUGAAAUCUUGCGGCUCAACCGUAAAAUUGCCAUUGAAACUGAUUAUCUUGAGUACAGUUGAGGUGGGCGGAAUGUAUCAUGUAGCGGUGAAAUGCUUAGAUAUGAUACAGAACACCUAUUGCGAAAGCAGCUCACUAAACUGCAACUGACGCUGAGGCACGAAAGCGUGGGGAUCAAACAGG
rnacentral:rRNA from 1 species